CUCUGAGGGAUGUGAGUGAGGAGGUUGAUUCCUUGGAAGCGCCCAGUGCGGGGGACCGUGAGUCGGAAAUUCCUGCCCCCUCUGACCCUAGCAGGUUCUUUGACCUUUAGCACACGGCCUCCACUCUCGGGCCCUCAGUCUUCCUUUGCAGAAAUGAUGCCGUUGGUUGGCAUAGGUGAGCCCGACAGUCCAAGCCGGGAAUGACAAGUAUGGCUCAUCGCGGGGCCAGGGCCGUGUGGAGCGUCAUGCUGAGAAGGGUGGUGAGGCCAAGAGAACAGAUGUCGGGUGGACUUAUGAAAUCUGCUGGUGAUGUGUGGUGGGGCGGUGCGGCACCCAGGCCCAGCCCUUGUCUCCCCUGGCCCUGGCUUGGAGAAACAGGAGACUCACACUCCAGGAAACUUUGAAGGGUCUGAGGAAAGGCCUCUCUGGAAUUCUGGAGCCAAGGUGAUUGUUCGUGAGAUGUCAGCCCUGUGGCCUCGCCUCUUCGGGGCAGACCUGGGCCCUCCAGGUAAGUCUGCUUCACCAGGAGGCUGACAGAGGGUGUGCUGGGAAUGGCCAGAUUCUCCUGCAAGGUGACUCCCGAGGUCUGGGCCAAGGAAGGGUUUUAGACAGGAGAGGGAAUUCACGACAUGGCAUGCUUGAGAGAAACCAUUCAAAGUUUUCAGCUCUCCCUAAGGCGCGUAACAUGAGAUGGAACCUAUAAGUUACUUUAGCUAUAUAUAUAGUGUGUCACCUGCAAAUGCCUCCCCCCACACCAGCAUUUGUGUCCGUGACCUCACAGUGUGUGCCUUGUGCGCAGGGUGGAGUGGGGGAAGGGAUUCGGCUGGGGUCAGACCCAAGUGGGGAAGCACUGGCUUUGAAGACUGAAUUUCCUCCUUUUUCUGCUUGGGGUGUAACCAGAGACCAGUGUCAACAAAGACUCACUCAGGCUUAGGAACGCUUCUGUUUGCAGCUCUCCUUGGGGCGUGACUUGCUUUUCUCAGAGGCGGUGUUUCUCCACUUGGGCUGCCUCGGCACCGACUCCCAGUCUGGUCCAGAAGCAAUGAAUGGAGGCAGAGGCAGGCCUUGAGGACAGCAACAUAAUGUUGUCACGGUCACUGUCAAGAAUCUUGUUUCAUCCAGAUGUGGAGAAGAAAACGGAAGCGAUGUGUUCUGGUUAAUAUCAGCCAGCCGAUGGAGUGUUUCGGAUGAAGAACGAGAAGCCAUAGAAAGUGUCCUCAGGCUCCAGGCUUCUCCCUGCAGGACUGGGAAGAAGUCGAUUGUGGCAAAGUACAAAUGAUAUUGAUAUUGUUGUAUCUUUGGGAAUUAUUAUGUUUUAGAUUUGUCUUUUAUAAACAUCACAUGCAACUUAAUGUGAUUCAGCAUGACAAUCUUUAUCUUUUCAUCUGGGAAUUUAAGUAUUUACACCUAAUCCAAUUUCUGAUAUUUGGGGGUUGAAAUCUACCACUUUAGCUUUGCAAUGUAUACUGCUUGUUCUGUAUUUUCAUUUCUUGUUUUCAUUUGCAUGCAUGAAGGCUUUUAAAAAGUUAUUCCAAUCCUGUAAAUUCUUGUAAUGGUUACACUAAAUAUUGCAAUAUGCACACUUGAUUUAUAAAAAAUACAAUAUUAAUUGGUUCUUCCCUCUCUUCCUGGACAGUGCUGGACCUGAAAACACAUACCUCUGUUUCACUUGCAAUGUAUUAUAAUUUUCUAUGUAAUUCUCUACAUUAUUGUUAUUGUUUUAUACAAUUGAUACUCAUAUUUAUCAUUCCUUCUUGCAUGUUUGGUCUUCUGUCUAGAAUCAUUUCCUUUUGCCUGAAGGCCAUAAUAUAUUAGUUCAGAUAUGUUAAAGAUGAAUGUCCCCUAUUUCAGUUUGUCUGAAAAUUUCAUAUAUAUAUAUAUAUAUAUAUAUAUAUAUAUAUUCAGAGUUGGCAAUUAUUUUCUUUCAGCAUUUUGAAGCUAUAAUUCCAUCAUUUUUUGCCUCCCAGUAUUGGUGUUGAGAAAUUAGCUGUAAGUCUAACGAUUGCUCCUUUGAUGCUAAUCUGUGUAUUUUCCUCUGGCUGCCUUUAAGAUAUUUUCUUUGUUUAUGAUCUUUAACAGAUUUAAUAUAAAGUGCCUAAGUUUCCUUUUAUCUACCAUUGUUGGGUUUCUUGAAUCUGUUGAUUUACAUAUUUAAUUAUUUUUGGAAAAUUCUCAGCUAUUAACUCUAUCAAUUUGCAAUUCUGUUCCAUUGUCUCUGUCCUCACCUUCGGAGACUUCAAUCCACCACACAUUCAAUUUUUUUAUGGCUCUUUUAUGUCAGUGCCAUGGUCUGAAAAAAGGUAAAUACAAAAACUGUGAGUAAGCAUUUUAAAGUCUUGUAGCAAUUGGCAGCAUAAUUUUAUGUGUUAUGACUCUAAUAAAAUUUUGGUCUUA